rnacentral:lncRNA from 1 species
GCACCGGUAAGAACUUAACAAUUAUUUUCCUCCUGGAACAUAUCAGACAAAUUGCUGCUAAGAUAAUCACCAAGGAAAGUAAUCAGAGCUUGAUUUUUUUUGUUGCUUGAUGGAAAUUUUGUCCAGUCUGGAACAGUUCGGCCUUCAGCGAUAUGAUAAACUUUUGGCGUAGUUGUUGUUGCCGAUCGUCUAUGUCGCUCUGCUUAUUUUAUGGAAUGCUCAGUGUCAUAGCGAUCGAAGACAUCAACAACCUUGUCUGUGAAUCGGAAGCAU